rnacentral:rRNA from 1 species
GACAGAGGGUGCAAACGUUGUUCGGAAUCACUGGGCGUAAAGCGCGUGUAGGCGGUUUGGAAAGUCGGAUGUGAAAUCCCACGGCUCAACCAUGGAAGUGCAUUCGAAACUGCCAAACUAGAGUUCUGGAGAGGAAGGCGGAAUACUGGGUGUAGAGGUGAAAUUCGUAGAUAUCCAGUGGAACACCGGUGGCGAAGGCGGCCUUCUGGACAGUGACUGACGCUGAAACGCGAAAGCGUGGGGAGCAAACAGG